CCUACGGGAGGCAGCAGUGAGGAAUAUUGGUCAAUGGCCGAGAGGCUGAACCAGCCAAGUCGCGUGAAGGAUGACUGCCCUAUGGGUUGUAAACUUCUUUUAUCUGGGAAUAAAACAGGGUAUGCAUACCCUCUUGUAUGUACCAUAUGAAUAAGGAUCGGCUAACUCCGUGCCAGCAGCCGCGGUAAUACGGAGGAUCCGAGCGUUAUCCGGAUUUAUUGGGUUUAAAGGGAGCGUAGGUGGAUGGUUAAGUCAGUUGUGAAAGUUUGCGGCUCAACCCUAAAAUUGCAGUUGAAACUGGCAGUCUUGAGUACAGUAGAGGUGGGCGGAAUUCGUGGUGUAGCGGUGAAAUGCUUAGAUAUCACGAAGAACUCCGAUUGCGAAGGCAGCUCACCGGACUGCAACUGACACUGAUGCUCGAAAGUGUGGGUAUCAAACAGGAUUAGAUACCCGUGUAGUC
rnacentral:rRNA from 1 species